GGCCCAGAAUGAAUGCUUGCGAUAAGCCUAAUACAUGCAAGUCGAACGCACAGAAAUGUGAGUGGCGAACGGGUGAGUAAUGCGUAAGAAUCUACCUCUUAAAUAGCCGUAAAUAGGAAAAGGCAAAGUCCGUUAAGAGAUGAGCUUGCGUAAGAUUAGGUAGUUGGUGUGGUAAAAGCUCACCAAGCCAAUGAUCUUUAGCUGGUCUGAGAGGAUGAUCAGCCACACUGG
rnacentral:rRNA from 1 species